rnacentral:tRNA from 1 species
GUCCAGGCUAGCCUAGUGGUCAUGGCACUGCCCGGUAAGCGGAAGGUCGUGGGUUCGAUUCCCAUCCCUUGACA